rnacentral:lncRNA from 1 species
AUUUGCCGGAGCAAUCAAAACGUGUUCUUAACUGUUUGGAUGAGCUGAUGCUGCUGAUUUAUUUGUUUGUUUAGCGUGUGUCUAAGAGCACUGGCUGCGGAGCAAAUUGGCCCACAGGAGCAAGGAAAAAUUACCGUGCUGUUUACGGUGGUGCUUCUUGCUCGGUCCUGUUCUAAAUCAUCACAGUUUCCACGUUUGUCUAACAUGUUCAUCUUCGCUUGCAAAGUCGUUUACGAGUGCCGAGGAUUACAACAUGUCCCCCGUCUGCAUGAGGUGUUUGUGGUGAGAUGUGAGGGAGAAGUCAGUGUAAAUAAAAGAUUGAUCGCUGAUCCUUAUAGACGUAUAUUAUGGGUUUGUGGCUACAGCUGGAUAACUUCUGUCCUUUUGUGUUCUCCAGCUCCAGCUUUGACCCUCGUCUUGACUGAUUUACCAAAAAGAUCAAAGAACCCACAGGAAAAAGCUAGAUCCAGGACUCUGAGCUCAGGACUGUGUGGGAGCCGAAGCGCUUGGAAAAUGACACGGAGUGCCACAAAAAACAGAGAAAAUCAAUUGGUAAUACAGACGUCCUUGUUUUCCUUCUCAUGCGCCUCCUCCGUUCUUUUAUUUCUCUUUUACAC